AUCUUCACUUUGUCUCUUCUCUUCGUUUCAAUACACAACCUCCAAAACCUUUCCUUGUAUUAUUUUUAAUUUUUUUGAAUGAUCAACGACACUCAUCAGAUAAACGACGAAACUCAUCAGAUAAACGACGAAACUCUGAUUUGUUUUUGUGUGCGACGAAACUGAAAGUGAUUUAGUUCGACGAAACUGAAUGAUGAUUGAGUUCGACGAAACUGAAUGAUGAUUGAGUUUGACGAAACUGAAUGUAAGAAUGAUAAUCGACGAAAGUGAUGACCUGUUUGGUCGACGAAACUGAAAGGUCCGACGAAACUGUUUGAUUGAUGAAAUAAGAAAGGUCCGACGAAACGGUUUGAUUGACGAAACAGAUUUGAAAUCUGUUUGAUAACGACCAAACUGAUUUAAUUAAUUGCUCGACGAAACGGAUUGAAGUGUAAGCGACGAAACUGGAAUGUUAUUGUGCGACGGAACAGAUGGAAGUGUAAGCGACGAAACUGAUAAGUAUUCCGACGAAACUGAAAAGGUUUGUUUGCUUAUGACGAAACUGAUUUGGAUAAGGGUGGGAGUUGGUGAGUUUGGUUUGAUCUUUCAAAGAAACUUAUCCUGUUCUGACACAAUGCACCAAAAUUCAACCUACCAUAUUUAUCUUAAAAUUAUUUUAAUCAAAUUUCCUUUUCCAUUUUGAUUUUAAAAGCACCAACAACUAAUAAAGUGAACUUACAAAAGAUCAAAAAGUUGAAAUAAUGAAGAACACUUUGAAUAUUAGUGAAAAACACGAUGAAGGUUUGAAGAUUCCGGUCACCGAACAAUUUUCUGAAACCCGAAUUCGCUUAAAACUUUUACUAAAAACCCGGUAAUACUAUGUAAUGAUGCACACUAACAAGGUUUUUGGCAAAACUUUGGCAAAACAAACAAGAUAAACACUGAUUUUAGUGACUUUUUUAGAAAAUAUAUAAACUUUCAAGAACACUUUUUCAGAAAAUCAUAAACAAUCAGUUUCAGGCUUGAUAAAAACCGAACUAGGUUUGGUUUUAAACAAGGAUUAGAGCCAAAGCUCUGAUACCAAUUGUAGGACCGUUUUCGUGACCGAAACCGUGAUUAUCAUGAUUAUGUUCAUAGACAGGAAGAUUAGAGACGGAUGAAAUACUUACUUGUAUAGAUUUGAUAACAAAACAAAGCAAACCGGCCCGAUUAACAAGCUAACGGAACCAUACCAAAGGAGUACACAUCCGGGGAGAGACCAAGUGGUGAUCUCUCCCUGUGGGACUCAAACAUCUAAAACUUCCAAAUGUUGCAAAUGGCAAGGGGUUGCUAUUUAUAGCUACACCCCCUUGACUUGCAAACACACACGGUCAAACAAAUAACCCUCUCGUUUGACCACUUCAAACAAGCGGGUCAAUACACGUUCGUUUGACCAUUUCACUAACUAUUACAUAUUCAGCAUAAAAUAAAUCUAAUCUAUUCGACAAGCAUCAGACACAAAAUCUGUAUCAACAAAUUCCCCCUUUUGCCGUUGCUGUCGAAUGCCGAAAAUGCAACUGCAAUCGAUCUUCAGUCAAGUAUCCCCCCGUGACGGUGCAAACCAAACACAGUUAAUAGGAACACAGUUUAACCAGUGAAACACAAUCUAUUGAUUAAACGUGAUGAGAACAGAUACAAACAUAUACAAACAAUGUUUUACAUACUCUCACUAAGUCUCUCUGUGCUCAUCUCCGUUUCACACAGAAACUAUGACGAGUAUUUAUACUAAACAGACACAGACCUUAACGAAACACAAAGGACUGAAUGACGAAACAACAAAGUCGACGAAACACUUUUUGUUUCGUCGACAUACAAGUAAAUUGUGGGUGUUUCGUCGAAGUUGAUCUUCAGCCCAAAAGAAGUCAAAGGCCCAAUCUCAAUUCAUUCGGCCCAAAGCAGUUUCGUCAAAUGUUUUACAAAUUCAAGAUAAGACAAAACUAGUGACAUCAUCAUGACAUCAUCAUGAUAAUGUCAUGAUGAUGUGUCAUCGGGAAAUGUCGCGGCUCUCCGUGCUUCGCGUGUCGAACUCUGGGGCGCACGACGGAGGAAUGUCGUCACGUCGGGCUUGAGCCGGGCCUAACCGUGUCGAAACCAAAUCGAACCCCCUGUCAGUGCUCCUCCGCCACUGGGAUACCCCACUAAUCCUGUUCCAGAGGAUGCCCCUCAGCAGCUGCAGCAAGAUCAGCAACGAGGAGUUCCACGACAGGCCUUUCGUUGUUGUUGGGACAUUCUGUGUUGCUGUUGUAGCUGCUUAGCUGAGGAGGAAUAAAUGGAUGCUCAUUCGAGUAAAUGGUUAUGAAUAUGUUAUUUGGGUUAACAAGGAGGAGGCCUGUCUCGUGAUUUGAAAAUUUCGUUUAUCUUUUAGUGCUUUAUUUUGGACAUGAAAAUGUAUCUUGUUGUUCCCGUUUGUUAAUUUAUGUUUGAUAUUGUUUGUU